rnacentral:sRNA from 1 species
GGGAUUGGAAAAAUCGAAAGUGUGGUC